rnacentral:tRNA from 1 species
UAGCUUAGUGGUAGAGUGCUUGUCUGGUAUACAAGGUUCUGGGUUCAAUCCCUAG